GGGGACAAGGAUUAGAUCCAGGGCCUAGGUGGCGCAAUCUCAACCCUCGAUUUAAUCUUGGAAGAAAUAGCAAAAAUCCAUUAUUUAUACACCUUAUAUUAAUCUAACAAGUAUUUUUCUCACAUUAUUUUUUGUAAUGUUUAUACAUAAUUGUGUUUAUAAGAAUAAUUUGAAGUGAGCCACUCGAGGAGCAAGCUAUUAUAGCAAGCAGUUAG
rnacentral:lncRNA from 1 species